GCAAGUCGUACGAGAGUUUUUAACUCAAGUGGCGGACGGGUGAGUAACACGUAAGAAUUUGCCUUUAGGAGGGGGAUAACAACUGGAAACGGUUGCUAAUACCCCAUUUGCUUUCGAGUGAAACGGUUUUUCCGCCUAAAGAGAAGCUUGCGGCUGAUUAGCUUGUUGGUGAGGUAAUGGCUCACCAAGGCGACGAUCAGUAUCUGGUUUGAGAGGACGAUCAGACACACUGGAACUGAGACACGGUCCAGACUCCUACGGGAGGCAGCAGUGGGGAAUUUUCCGCAAUGGGCGAAAGCCUGACGGAGCAAUACCGCGUGAGGGAUGACUGCCUAUGGGUUGUAAACCUCUUUUUUCAGGGAGGAAUCAAUGACGUGUACCUGAAGAAUAAGCAUCGGCUAACUCCGUGCCAGCAGCCGCGGUAAGACGGAGGAUGCAAGUGUUAUCCGGAAUCACUGGGCGUAAAGCGUCUGUAGGUGGUUUGGUAAGUCAACUGUUAAAUCUUGAGGCUCAACCUCAAAAUCGCAGUCGAAACUAUCAGACUUGAGUAUAGUAGGGGUAAAGGGAAUUUCCAGUGGAGCGGUGAAAUGCGUAGAGAUUGGAAAGAACACCGAUGGCGAAGGCACUUUACUGGGCUAUUACUAACACUCAGAGACGAAAGCUAGGGUAGCAAAUGGGAUUAGAUACCCCAGUAGUCCUAGCCGUAAACAAUGGAUACUAGAUGUUGAACAGAUCGACCUGUGCAGUAUCAAAGCUAAUGCGUUAAGUAUCCCGCCUGGG
rnacentral:rRNA from 1 species